CAUGGGAGGCGAUGUGCUGGUGUCACCUGCAUGCCAUGGAGGGCUGAGGCAUGGGGAGGUGUAGAAGUGAACCAAGAGACUCCUUCCUGAAUAAAGUCAGCGGGACCUUCACAUUCCUUCAGGAGCUUCCUUUGAGUCUCUGUGUCCGGCUGGUCCCUCUUCAGAGCCUUAGCAAACAAGAAUGAACCUGAAAGUGCUCGUGGAGACGAUAUUAGAUAAACUUUUCCCCAGAAGCUAUCAGACUGAAUGGCUCAGUUUGCAACACCAAGGAACACCUUGCUCUUCAUCUCUGCCUGCCAAGAUGUCACUGCCUUGCUCUUUGCUCUCUCAGACUGCCAUGGUUUUCUCCAGCCCAUUUAGACUCUCCCUGCUCAAAGAUUAACCCUGCACUCUCAGGCUGGAUAACUUACUUCAGCUGAGGAGAAAGAGCAGUACAUGACAGAUAAGAAAGUAAUUGCACCCUGAGGAAGCAUGAGGAGUGUCUGCAUCAUAUGCACUUGCUUUACAGAACAGGAACUACUUAUUCAAAGGGAGCAGCCUUUGAAAUCCAAAACAGGGUGCACAGAAAAGCCACCAUGGCAAUAACCUCAUUAGAUUUAUCACGUGGCUUCUUGGCGCAGUUUCUAUCCUGUCCUGAAUUUAGUUUUCCACCAUCAGAGAUGGAAAUCAGAUAGUGUGUCUCACUGGCUUCCUGCACUAAAUGCAUUGUGGCCAGAUCUCAGGAUAAGGGCAGAGAAGCUGUGAAAAUCCACUGUGAGAAGCUUGAGAGUAAGGAAGAGGAGGGUUGGGAUGAAGCAUCUCAAGGUGAGGAAAUGAUUGGGUCCAAGAUGGGCUUUAGACCUGAUCUAGACUUGUUUCUCCAGAGACAUCUCCUGAGGCUUCCCAGAGGAAUCACACACUUUGUUUUCCAAGGGUUUUGAUGAUGUUUAACCUUCAAGCUUCACCAGAUGUGAUUCACUGGGUGCCCCUGAAAAUCAGAGGCACCCACUCAGCAGCUCAUGCUGAUGUCCUUAAGUCUCACUCUGGAA